rnacentral:SRP_RNA from 1 species
GGGUCCGUGCGAUCGGAACCCGUGAACCUUGUCAGAUGGGGAACCAAGCAGCAAUAAGCGGUGCUUUUGAUGUGUUGCGGUUUUGCCGGU